UGUAUUCAACUAACACUUCCACACAAUCGGUGGUCCUUUCAGUAGUUUAUUAUCUCAGCCGUCCAUCAAGUUUAAGGUUAUUUUCAUGGAUGGUUAAGAUCGCUUUGUGGUCAUUGACUUAAGAAUCCGAGCAUGCAGCCAGGGUCAACAGGCCCCCUGAGUUCAGUGUUCUAUCAACAGAGGAAUGCCAAACUUCCAUUGUCUACCUUUUUCUAGUUUUUUCCUAACAUUUCAAAAUUAUAUCAAUUGCAUCCUUCCACUGCCCGAUUGUUACAAAACUUGAGGUAACUACUUAGUUAGAAAUCAUGGCGUUCGAGAGGGGAGUAUCAAUUGUUGUGGUUGAUCCAUCAGAGGCCUAUAUAAUUCUAAGAUGGCUGAAGCCAUGGCGUUCAAGAGAGUGCUGGAAUAUUUAACAGCUCAGAAUUAUAAGGCAUGCCUGAAAGAAGCCACUAGCAGUCUUCAAUUAUUAAAAAAACGGUGGAGAUAAUAGAAAUUCAUCCCAUAAUUACUUGCUAUCAUUCUAUCCAUCCACCAAGCCACAUGUUCAAUCAAGGGUUCAAUUCAAAAAUCAAGAGUGAGAUGAUAUUUUUUUAUGAACUUUUACUGGAUAUGAAAUAAUUUAGUUUUGGCAUGUACAAGCCUGACCAAACAUAUACAUGAGAAUCAAAUAAAAAAAUCGUCAAUGAGUUGUAAUUCAAUGUACAGUGAUAUCCCUGUUUUCUUCAAUAAAUCUGAAUUCUCAUGUGCAAUAAAAAAAAAA